rnacentral:rRNA from 2 species
GCUCAACCGGGGAGGGUCAUUGGAAACUGGGAAACUUGAGUGCAGAAGAGGAGAGUGGAAUUCCACGUGUAGCGCUGAAAUGCGUAGAGAUGUGGAGGAACACCAGUGGCGAAGGCGACUCUUUGGUCUGUAACUGACGCUGAGGAGCGAAAGCGUGGUGAGCGAACACGAUUAGAUACCCUGGUAGUCCACGCCGUAAACGAUGAGUGCUAAGUGUUAGGGGGUUUCCGCCCCUUAGUGCUGCAGCUAACGCAUUAAGCACUCCGCUUGGGGAGUACGGUCGCAAGACUGAAACUCAAAGGAAUUGACGGGGGCCCGCACAAGCGGUGGAGCAUGUGGUUUAAUUCGAAGCAACGCGAAGAACCUUACCAGGUCUUGACAUCCUCUGACAACCCUAGAGAUAGGGCUUUCCCUUCGGGGACAGAGUGACAGGUGGUGCAUGGUUGUCGUCAGCUCGUGUCGUGAGAUGUUGGGUUAAGUCCCGCAACGAGCGCAACCC